AGAAACACAGGGAGCCACGAUGUAGCCGCUGCCAUAGGGCCGAGGGAAAUGUGGCCUGUGGAAGCGAAGAAAGAAGAAGUCACUGCCCUUGAAUAAUUAAUUGCUUCAUCUUCUCUUGGAAAACUGGUUUGUUACCUCCAUUGGAAGUGCCUCUGCUCUCCUCACCCUCACCUGUGGGACAAACAGAUGUGUUCCGGCAUCUUGUCGCCUCUCACUUCUUUAGACAGCUGGCCUGAAGGUAAGAUGGAGACACACUUUCCAUCGCAGCCGCCACUCAAGCGUGCCAUCAGUCCCAAGCCCUGCCCAUCUCAGUGGAUGUCCACACAGUUAGACUGGGCACUCGGAAGCUGUGGAGCUGUCCUUAGGACUUUAUACUUAUACCAUCAAUUACGUUUUGGCUCACUGUUCACCAUAUACCAGGAGAAAAUAAAAUGACAGAGCUGAACUAGAA